GCUUACGACCACACCGGCCUGAGUACGCCUGAUCUCGUCUGAUCUCGGAAGCUAAGCAGGGUCGGGCCUGGUUAGUACUUGGAUGGGAGACUUCCUGGGAAUACCAGGUGAUGU
ensembl:rRNA 5S_rRNA 5S ribosomal RNA